AGAAUUUAGAAUAAGUUAAAAAUUAAAAUGUAUUUAGAUAUAUUUAUAAAAAAUUAAAAAAAUUAUGCAUUUCUUGCGUAGAAAGGUAUUGUUGUAGAUUUUAUGUAUUAAAAAAGUUUGAAUUAAAAUAAAUUUGGUGAUCCAAUAGUGGAGUUUUUAAAUAUUAAAUUAACGUUAAAAUUAGUUCCGUUCAACGGGGCCGUCUUUAUUUCUCUCCCGGCGACCAUUGGGAUCAAGAGCCGCGAAUCUAUGGACUCGGACGUUAUUAUGCUCCCAGGCUGGGAGUCCCAGCGGGCGAGGGCCCAUCCUCUUCCGUCGCCUUGUCUUCGUCUUCAACGAAGAAAAACAAGCACUUCGAAAUCAAAAAGUGGAACGCCGUCGCUCUUUGGGCCUGGGAUAUUGUUGUGGACAACUGUGCAAUCUGUAGGAACCACAUCAUGGAUCUCUGUGAGUGAUUGAGCUUUAAUCUCCUCUCAUUUCUUCUGUGAGUGAUUAAUCUGUAGGAACCACAUCAUUAAUCUCCUCUCAUUUAUUCUCACUUUUGUCUUAAUUCCUUUUGUUAUUCUCAGGUGUGGUGUAUUUAUUUUUUUCUCUCGUUUUCUUUCAAUGAUCAUUCAUGGCUGAUUUUGAUUUUUCCUAUUUUCUGUUUUGUGGUUUCGGGUUGGCAUUGAGUGCCAAGCUAAUCAGGCUAGUGCGACCAGCGAAGAAUGCACCGUCGCUUGGGGUACGUAUUCUUUUUUUUUUUCAAACCCGAACAAUGUAGUGGUGACACGGUGAGAGACUCCAAAUUUGAGGAAUAUAGUCUCACAGGUAGCAAUCAAGUAUAACUGAUGUUAUAUAUUCUAAGAUAUCGGGAAAAUUGUCGAUUAUAAUGUAUAAUUGGCGUGAUGAACUGCGUUGGCUUUUUGAUUGUGGAACUUGGUAAAUUUAGGAAUCUAGUUUUACUUUGUGCCACUGUGCCACUGCUAGCAAAUGGACUGGCAGGUUGAUGACUUCUUUACGCAUGCUGCCGUCUCAUAACGAAAGUUUACAUUAGUCUGGCGGAAUUGAACGUUUUUCUUAAUUAACAGGGAAUUGCUUCAUGUCCAAUAACAUUUCUCAUUUAUGUUCUUUAAUAAAACUGUUUCAUGCUUGAAGGAUGGAAAGGUGGUUUCAUGCUAUGGCAUUUUUGGUUUUCUUGGACCUGGCAAGAUUAUUCCGUCGUAUUGAAAGAAAAUAUGAGUUCUUCAGUAGCCAACUUCAUUUUUAUGGAUUUAUGUCAGGGUAACUUUGAGGCUGUCUGAAUGGGGGAGAUGGCUCUAAGCGAGGUAAUGGCGGGCUUAUGAAAGAGUGUGUUUGUGUUGGUGUUGGUAUAUAGUUUUGAGGAAGAUUUUCCACUUUUUUGGCUAUCAUAAUAUUAUCGUUUUGCGACUGGUUAGUUCUGUCUCUUCAUGAGGAACCUAAUUGUCACCUAUCUUUUGCUUUGUCAUGCUUUGUGUGGUUUCUCCCCCAGCUUUGGAUAAGUAGGUUCACACUAAACAAUGCAUUAUUAGUUGAAGCUUUGACUCAUGGCUCCUUGGAUUAGAGCAUUGGCAUUGGCUUCAUCAAAAGCCAAUGCAAAUGCAUAAAAUGAUGAAUAUGUGUAAAAAGCCCCUGCAUUGGAUUAGUCAAACCGGUAAAUGACAAGUUUUGACCUACAGUAAAUUUAUAGUUUCCUUCAAAUAUGAAGGGCUACUGCACACUCAUCUUCUCAUUAUGUUACUCGGUUUUAAUUCUCAUUACCGAACAGCUUUUUCCUUUCCCUCUUCAUUUUCCUCCCCGCGUUUUCUCUCCCCCUCUCUCUUUUUCAUUUCUCGCACGAAAGAGCACUCGGAUUCUUCACAAGAAUCACUCUGAUCUGGACCGAUUUUCAGACGAGCUUCUUCUCCAAGGCUGGCCGUUCAUCUUGGGUUUUGUAUAGCGCAACAUAAGAACCAACGACGAGCUGUUUACACACGCUCCAACGACCAGCGGCCUCACCGAGGUAGUUUCAAAGAUGGUCACGUCGUUUCUCCCAAUUUCGUCCAUCUUCUUCUAACGUCAUCGGGCUUUCCACAGCUCCGAUUAGACCCCCCACAAACACCAGAGGUUCUGUCAGCUCGAUCGAAGCGGCGGUGGUUUCAUCUCUUCUGAGGAGUUCAUGUCUAUUCCUGAAUUCGCCGUCAACCCUCUCUCCCAGAGAUUGUUGAGGAUGUUGGACGGAUUGAACUUUAAGGAAUUCGUGGCAUUCUUGUCCGCAUUCAGUCCCCGUGCGACUUUACAACAGAAAAUUGAGUGUAAUGACUCUUUAGUUUUUGUGAUGUCAUGUUUCUAGAAAUUAUCUUCUCUGAAUUUUCACCUAUUGGGGUGAUGGCGUCUCUUUGUUCCUAGUUAUUUUUAGAGUUUAUGAUUCGGAUGGCAAUGGAAGAGUUGCGAUGAAUGACAUGCUCGAAGUUUUGCGGGACUUGACAGGACAAUAUAUAUCUGAACAACAAAGGGAGGUUAGUUCUUAACUACAAAAUGUUUGAAGAAUGAAUCUUCUGAUUAGUGGCCUUAUUUGAAAGGUUUCGGGCUAUGCAAUUCAUGUGCGUUUUCUUUUUAAUUGGUAAUACAGUUUAAAGGUUUCUUUUCCCUUUACAAGUAAGAAAUCUUUAAUAAUAAGGCAAAAGGUGUGACGCAAACAGUUUAAAAGGCUAUAUACGUGAAACCUUAUUGUGUUGGUUAUCAUCAGUGGCCUUUUUUAAUAUUGAAUCUAUGAACUUGAAAAUACAGGGAUAUCGUAGCAGUCUUCAAUUGCAUGAUAUGUGCACAUAGGGUUCAAGUUUGCUUUGAAAGUGAUAUGGUUGUUGGAGAUUUUCAACAAUAUCAACAGAAAAGGAAGAUAGGAAAAAUGACUUGGAACAAAUACAAAAUCUGUUCUUGAAUGUUUAUUUGCUUGUAUAAAUAUGGCAAAUCUUGAAUGACUCUGCAUUCCUCUAAUUUAGCACUUUUUUCUAAAUGCUGAUGCACUUUGGCCAAAUACUUCAAAUUCUUUACUCUUUUUAUGAGACGAGUGACAUUAAGAAAUACAAUAUGUUCUUUUCUUUUUUUCUUUUUUUGUUCAGGGGAGGAUCCAUUUGAGUUAGAUCCCAUUAGAGUAAUAAAAUAUCAACUGUUCUGUAAAUCUAUUAGGGUGAGAAAUAAGGUUUAAAAUUUCUAAUGGAAAUUGAAUAAAAUCAACUUUAUUUACAUAUGGCUAAUAUGCGCACACGUGGGAUGAACUUAAAAGAGAGCAUAUCGAUUACUGCUAAUUACUUAAACGAUUUUGAACUUGAUAUGCGUGGUUAUUAUAUGUGCUGCUGAAUAUCUUGUUUUGCAUGUGUGGUUUUGUUGAUGUCUGGUACAGCAAGUUCUGACCCAAGUCCUUGAGGAAGCAGGCUACACAAAGGAUUCUUUGUUAGUUUUGUCGGACUUCAUGAAGGCAUUGUGUCGCUUUAUUUUGAAUAUAAUCCUUUCUAUGUGAACUUUCAUCAUUAUCUAUUUCCAAAUAGUUUGCUUUAAUUUGAUGAAAUACAUCUCACGUGAUUAGACUCCGAAAAAACAAUUACAUAUAGUUGCCCUUCUGCUUCAUUAUUUAAGCAAAUUCUAUUCUUUUGAAAGAAAAAUUUUUCCUGCUGCCUACAGAUUCUUGGCAAUUCUGAUUUUAAGAUUGGGGUUGGAAAAAGUUUGCGUGAUAAUUAUGAUUUUAAGCUUUGCUUGUUCUGAAAGAGGACCUUAUGCAAUUAGUUGUUUUGCCGCCUCUGUUUGAGUGUAAGAGUUUUUGCAGAAAUGAAGAGCUUUUAACUUCUGCAAUUAUCGCUCUGAAAAAUUGAAGUUUCAGUGCAGCUUGAAGAGAUAAAAAAAAAAUAUAUAUGAGCAAGUUGGAAGAACACAGCGAUGGGCAACAGCGACAAAGAUGGAUUUUUGACUUGAGGCUGUAUUUUUUAAUUUAAGAAGCUGUAUUCGUGAAGUUUAUUUGUGUAGCGAUCAAAAACUCUGAUUUGUCUAGCUUCCAGGAACUUUGUUGAUCAUACAGGGAAUAUAAUUAUUUGUGAUGCAA